UUGAUCCUGGCUCAGAAUCAACGCUGGCGGCGCGCUUAACACAUGCAAGUCGAACGAGAAAAGGGAGCGAUCCUCUGAGUAAAGUGGCGUACGGGUGAGUAACACGUGGGUAAUCUGCCUCUGGGUGGGGAAUAACUCUGGGAAACCGGUGCUAAUACCGCAUAAGACCGAAAGGUGAAAGGUGAAAAUCGCCGAGAGAUGAGCCCGCGGCUGAUUAGCUUGAUGGUGGGGUAACGGCCUACCAUGGCAUAGAUCAGUAGCCGGCCUGAGAGGGCACACGGCCACACUGGCACUGAAACUCGGGCCAGACUCCUACGGGAGGCAGCAGUGGGGAAUCUUGCACAAUGGGUGAAACCCUGAUGCAGCGACGCCGCGUGAGCAAUGAAGCCCUUCGGGGUGUAAAGCUCUUUCGGCAGGGACGAUAAUGACGGUACCUGAAGAAGAAGCUGUGGCUAACUACGUGCCAGCAGCCGCGGUAAUU
rnacentral:rRNA from 1 species